UCUUUCAUUCCUCAGGAAAACGCAUCAAACAACAAGUGUUUUUCUUCCAACAGCACGCGCCAUCGGUGGAGCAAGCAGCCAACGAUUUGAUCGCCAGUACGCGCCAUCAAGAAUUGAUAUUUUGCCAAACAGUACUGUGAAUAAAAAACUGCACACUUACUGUCGGAAUUUCCUGGAAUUUUUUGAUCGGUCUACGCUCGCGGGAAUGGUGGGUUCGUUGAGGAGAAGGAAAGAAAGGGUGGGAGCGAGGAUUAACCAAAAACGCGGCAUUGAGAAUGAGGGGAGGUGCGCUCAGCGCUCACGCUGGGACACUCACGAUGCUUGAAAUAAAAUGUUAACAAGCAUCGAUUUCAAGCAUGCAUGUCGCGCGAUACCCGCUUGGCAAAGAGUAACUCAUUUUGAUGCCUUUCGCUACCCCUGGCCUUAGUUUUAAAGGAAUCAUGCGACACACUCGCACUCCACUACCCCAUCCCAUGGAAAAACGCUCCCACCAUCGAGGUGUUGACCAAAAUUUCGCUAUGUGCAUGAGACACACACUCGCACUCCUCCAGCCCUCCACAGCUGAACGCUCCCACCGUUGCGAAGUUUGCGAGAAUUUUUGCUCUGAGCGUGAGAUCCUGAAGCACCAGAGAUGACACUAUGUGUAAAGACGAUCAUAAUUCGGUAUGGUCAAAAUGCGUCGAUUGUCGUUUCAUUUAUCUGGUAAUGAUGUAUUCACUUCAUCAAAAUUUUAAACGUUCACAACUAGACUGAUAACAAUAUUUGAAUUUUUAAUCAGAAUAAAACCAAUUCAUUUGAAGCAAAAUAAAUUCCAUUAUACUUUAUUUUGACCAUAUGAUCAACACUUGUACAUAGUGCCAUUUACUUUGUGUUCUUCACUCUCGCGCUGUGUUGUGAUCGUUCGAAACUCAUUGCCAGAACGAAUGCAAAUUUCAUAUGGGAAUGAUCGGUGCCGGAAGAGGCAGCGAAAAUUAUGAAAUGAUAAUAGAAAAGUGGUUAAGUUAAUCGUGAAAGAUGUCAACGCAGACGUAAAUGUAGUAUGUUUUGUUACAUGAUCUACGGGUAAGUGCAUGCAUAAGAAGAAGAAUCUUCCAAAUGAUGUUUGUGUUCAAACAAUCGUACUGCUUUCAAUGUUUGUUUAUUUUUCUAUUAUUUUCCAUCACACCUAGCUAUUGCAUUACCAAAGCUCCUGAUAACAGAUCAAAGCAGAUGGAUCGGGCAUACAGAGUCGCCGUUUAAUUUAAAAUAUCUGCGUGAUCGCAAACGCAUCAAACAGCAAGUGUUUUUCCUUCCAACAGCACGCACCAUCGGUGGUGCAGCAGCUAACGUUUUGUUCGCCUAGCGCGCACCAUCAAGAAUUGAUAUUUUGCCAAACAGUACUGUGAAUAAAAAACUGCACACUUACUGUAGGAA